rnacentral:lncRNA from 1 species
CGAAAAAUCUAUAUGAUGAUGAUGAUAAUGUGUAUGAUUGAAAAAAGUAAAUCACAAAUAUACUGAACUCCGAGGAAAAUUCAAAACGGAAGGUCCUGAAUCAGAUGGCAAAAGCUUAAACACAUCAAGCGAAUGGAUAACACCGUUUAUAUUCCUGACUUGGUACAGACGUUUCCUUAUGUUAACCUGGUUUUAUAGUUAGCCAAACCUCUCACCUGUAUGACAGUCGCAUCAUAUUACAUUAUAUUGACAGCGAUGCGUGAACAACACAAACAGACAUUAUAGGUAAAAAUGUCACAAAUUGGGGUAGAGCAGUCAACAUA